CUCCCUCCAGUGAAACACAGCCUGCAGGUCUAGAGACAUCCAUCCCUCCAGCUCCCUCCAGUGAAACACAGCCUGCUGAAGAAACUACACCACUAAUGUCCAGUGAAUCUCAACCAACCGGGGACCAACAAGAACACACUUCAAGAACAAGUACCCCUGAUGUAACUAUGGAUGAUCAUGAUGAUGACCAGAGUCUGGAUGCCCUCGCCUACCGGUCUGGUACUGGACAGCUAGACAUUGAGAUGGGUCCAGUCCAAACGCUGCCCAAAGAUCGUAACAGGAUUCUUUAAUAUCGCUGUUAGACCCAAGUUUCCCAUCGACCGUGAUUCACUAUUGAAGGGGAAUGACAUUACAGGAUACAAAGUAACGCAGUUCGAGAAAUUCUGGAUCAACAUGAAAGUGAAUCUGAUGGUUCAAACUCAGAAACUAGGGGAGGAAAUACACCAGUCUGAUUCCUUCCUGAUGCCAGCUUUGAAAGGAGAAGAGGAGUAAUGUGUUUAACAUCAUUAUUUGAUCAAUCCUCACAUUAUUCUUCUAUAUGUGGCUCACAGAGCAAAGACAAGCGAGGUGUUAAUAAAUAGUGUGAGGUGUGCUCUGUGAGGCGUCCUGGGAUAUGAUGGGUAACGUUGGCUUGAGUCCAAGCUCCACCUCUCUUGGGCGACCGCCGAGGAAGAUGUACAGGGAAUGAUGAUAUUGAGAUGGAGAUGUUGGGUGAGAGGAGCCACAUGUCUUUGAGAGAAUUUUUUGAGUGAUAUUUUUUUUAAAUGUUGUCUUUCAUUUUUUUACAUUAUUCUUACCAUUUGAUUAAAAUGUUUUAAAGUUCAAAAGCUUUAUUUAAGAUUUUAUCAUGAGAAAGUCACUUGACACUAAAGUCACCCUCACAGUCAACAUGUGAGAGUGCACGUCAGUGAGAGACAUGAAGUGCAUACUUCUUGAGUCACCGAGCGGUUAGGGGACAACUCAGAACUCAAUGCAUUAUGUUUGGACACGAGACGUGCCCUAGUGGCAAAUGGCCUCUGAGCGCAGUGUGGGGUUCCUACCACUAGGGGGUGGUAGAAUUCCCAUGGGCCCCACUCUGCCUUGGGUCCCCCAAGCCUGUCCACCUUACACCCCCAGUCCAUCGGCCCUGCGAGCCACCACUCAUUUAAAAUGCGUUUCGUUUGAGUUUUCCCGUUCAGUGGGUCUCCCCAAAGAGACUAUUCUCCCCGAUCACAUACGGCCACUAGGUGGCUCCUGGUCACGCUGAAAAAACAAUGAUUCAUUAGCGUUGCACAUUCAGUCGGAUUUCUUUCUUGUAAAAUUUUGCAGAACUUUUGAUGGAAAGCAUGUCAAAAAAAUAAACCUUAUUUUGCCUUGAAUAACUUGCACUGAAAAACAGCUGCACAACUUUGCUGCCAUCAUAAUCAGUCAAACUGUUAUAAUUAAAAAUUGGAAAUUUAUUCAUGAUCUUACUUUUAUUACAUACCUUAUUUCAUUGACAUUGCUAUCGUGUCAUUCUGUUCAGCUACCAUGGUGAGUGUCGACACAAAUAUAUACCGGUUACAGGUUGGUAUGAUACAUAAGCACUAAUUAAGUGGUGAAUUAUUAUAAAUACUAUAUGUUAAAUCUUAAAUCUGUAAAUAAAGAGGUUUUACACUGCA